AGCUGAGAUCUUUAUACAGAGAACUUAGGAUGAUUUAUGCUUACAAAAGUUAUUAUUUAUGGUUAAGAUUUGUACUUUCAGUAGCCAUUAUCAAUUAUUUUUGCAAUAAUGACAGCCAUUCGAUUGGAUGGCUGAGUAGCCAAUGGUAUGGAAGCAACAUGGUGUUUUUCACCAUGAAGUAUUCUUAUUUAAUUCCAGGUCUUAAACUUUCAAAUUUUUUGGUAUCCAGUCUUGGUCAUUCAAUCCAUCCUCAUCUGAUUUCUCGCUGUUACCAUGAGUUCGAGUAGCUUGUGGGUGAGCAUUAUGAUGCUUAGCUAUUCGGUAUGCAAUAAGAAGAAAAUCACCAUAUGAUAC
rnacentral:lncRNA from 1 species